GGCUCGGUGGCGGAUGGUCCGCAUCUGCAAUAUAUUAAUGUGUCUUGAGCUGAUUGAUAAUAUGCAGACGACGCUCGUUCGAUUCAAGCCCGAGUCA